GUGAGAAGCUGCUACUGACCAGCAGAGGGAAGUGGCGGCAGCUGGUGUUGGGGCUGAGGGCUUCCAGGCCAGGCUGGGAAAGGGCUCUCAGUGUAGCAAGGGCAGGGAGAAGGCCCAGGCUGGAAGGUCCACUCCUCAUUCUCCCUGCCCCACCCUGCCAUGCCCAUCCUGAUGGUCACCAUGGCCUGUACCAGGCCUCCGGCGGAGAAGCUGGGCACCACGUACUUCACGUCAAAGUCGCGAGAGGCCGCGUAGGGGGUGCGCGGGCACUGCCAGUCCUCGCCCGCCGCGGGCUUGGCAGGCAACAGCAGCAGCAACAGGAAGGACUGAGGCAGCGGCGGGAGGAGCUCCAUCGAGGCGAGCUGGGACCCUAGAGGAUCCCUACCGGCCUGGGCCUGGACCUGGGCGUGGGCCUGGCUGGGGGCCCGACUCGAGGUCUGGACUGGGCCAAAUUUAAGCAGCGGUCCCGACAGCCCCAAGAUAGCGGACCCCCGCCCCAGGUUCCUGUGAAACCCAAAUCCCUUCCCGGCCCUCGGGUCUGAGCACCUGACGCCUGCGGACGCACGACAGCAACGCCCCAGCCGCCUCACCUGCCGCCCCAGCCGCCGCUGUACACUGGCGCUUAGCGCUCAGCCGACCCGAGGGCGCCGGGCUGGGCGGGCGGAGUCGGGCCGUGGGGGCGGGGCCGCGAGGAAGGCUUGGCCUAGCCCAGGCCCUCCGCCCAUCCGACUCUUCCGGCCCUUGGAGGCCUGGCUCCUGUACCUUCACCUGGCGUCUUGGCGCCUUUUUCUCAGCGGCCUGUGGGUGGAUGUGCAUGGUGUGGCCUGGAGAGAGGGGGAUUCUCACUCUCUCCAAAGGCAAAGCCCAUGUCAGAGGCAACUUUGGUCCUCGCCGCAGCCCCAUGAGGCCAGCAGUGUUGUUAUCUUCUGUUCAGAAGCUCCACGUGCAAACAGAUAGGGAAGCAGAGCCUGUAUCCUGACAGCUGGCCUGGUGGCCACUCCUGCACUGAGCCUGAAGGACCGCAGAGCACAUGGAGGGUUGGGCACCACUGCCAACAGCAUCACCCCACACAGAAUAAAACCAAAGAAAGAAGGUUGGGGAGAUAAUCUGGGGAUUUUCUAGGCCCCCAGUCCCAUCCAUCAGGACAAUCAAGAGUAAUGGUUCCCAGCAAGAGUCAGAGCCCAGAAGGAAAAGGCGCAGGCUGCCUUGUCAGACAGUGGGCCAGAGGAACUAAGAGGCUGCAUGCCCUCAACAGGAACCUGCGGUAGCAUCCACAGAGGUCCCCUCUGAGACUGAGACUAAGAGGAGCAAUCCAAAACAACCACCACAACACCACAAGGCCCAGGAUGCUGAAUGCCAAGGAAACUAGGGCAUGUCUAAGUCUUGCGCAAGAACACACAGGCCACGUAAAUCUCAUAGACCAGUAAUUCCAAAGCUAUCCUAAAAGCCAGAGUGGGCUCUGAGAGAUGAGUCUGCCCAAGUGCAGGCCAAGAGUAAGCUGCUCCUGACAGUACCAGGGUUGUGGCCAGGGCUUCCAGGCCUAUCUGGGCUCAAGCGAUCCUCCUACCUCAGCCUCCUGAGUCGCUGGGAACACAGGCGUGAGCCACCAU
rnacentral:lncRNA from 1 species